rnacentral:rRNA from 1 species
CGGAUUCAUUGGGCGUAAAGGGUGCGUAGGCGGCGGGGCAAGUCAGGUGUGAAAUCCCGGAGCUCAACUCCGGAACUGCACUUGAUACUGCCUUGCUAGAGUACUGGAGAGGAGACUGGAAUUUACGGUGUAGCAGUGAAAUGCGUAGAUAUCGUAAGGAAGACCAGUGGCGAAGGCGAGUCUCUGGACAGUUACUGACGCUGAGGCACGAAGUCCAGGGGAGCAAACGGG